GUUCAAGUUUUUGAAUAAAAGAUCAAGACCAUCGAACCAAGAUUUGUCUACGGAAAAUGAAGAUUAUGCUUCUCCAAGCACAAGUCAUUUGGCUACAAUCUCCAAUGAUGGCUACAUUUCUGCAGGGACAAGCACACACGGAGCCAGUUCUGAUUCAGACUCAGUCUACAAAUGAAAGUGUCCACCCUAUAAAAACAAACAAAAGCCAGGAAACCUACUGAAGUCAGCUUCAAAGCCAGUUUUUCCAUGGGCCGAUCUGCAUCUACAAGUGACAGCCAUGCCACCCACAGCUGCCAGAUUGGUCACGGAUUUACCGAUGGGGAAAAUCAUCCAUAAACAUAGCCUUUUGAAAAAAGCCAGACUGAAUUUAAGGAGCUGGUCCUGUUUAGGACUACUUAGGAGGCAUGAGGGAGGUCUGCCUGUAUCCCCAAAUGGAGCUCCUUCUGCAACUUAAGAGAGCCCUCUGCUGGUUCAGACACCUUUCUUUCUAUUCUGACAAGGAGGCUAAGCAAACAGUUGGUAAUGCUUUCCUGAGGAUACUUUUGGUUAAACAUGUAUUCAUGCCAUUCAAUUUCUUUAUUUUGG